GCCUGGUUGGCCAAGUGGUAAGGCGUCGCACUUGUACACCAUAGCAAUGCGAAGAUCGCUCGUUGUAAGUAACCAUUAAUCUAUUCAUAUCAUAUAGUACUAAUCUCAAUUAGCGAUUCGGGUACUAGGCA